rnacentral:rRNA from 1 species
AGUGAACGCUGGCGGUAGGCCUAACACAUGCAAGUCGAACGGCAGCACAGUAAGAGCUUGCUCUUACGGGUGGCGAGUGGCGGACGGGUGAGGAAUACAUCGGAAUCUACUUUUUCGUGGGGGCUAACGUAGGGAAACUUACGCUAAUACCGCAUACGACAUACGGGUGAAAGCAGGGGAUCUUCGGACCUUGCGCGAUUGAAUGAGCCGAUGUCGGAUUAGCUAGUUGGCGGGGUAAAGGCCCACCAAGGCGACGAUCCGUAGCUGGUCUGAGAGGAUGAUCAGCCACACUGGAACUGAGACACGGUCCAGACUCCUACGGGAGGCAGCAGUGGGGAAUAUUGGACAAUGGGCGCAAGCCUGAUCCAGCUAUACCGCGUGGGUGAAGAAGGCCUUCGGGUUGUAAAGCCCUUUUGUUGGGAAAGAAAAGCAGCAGGUUAAUACCCCGCUGUUCUGACGGUACCCAAAGAAUAAGCACCGGCUAACUUCGUG